rnacentral:rRNA from 1 species
CCUACGGGGUGCAGCAGUGAGGAAUAUUGCGCAAUGGGGGCAACCCUGACGCAGCAACGCCGCGUGUGGGAAGAAGGCUUUCGGGUUGUAAACCACUUUUGCCCGGGACGAAAGGGGGGGCCUGAAUAAGGUCACCCGAUGACGGUACCGGGAGAAUAAGCCACGGCUAACUCUGUGCCAGCAGCCGCGGUAAGACAGAGGUGGCAAGCGUUGUUCGGAGUUACUGGGCGUAAAGAGUCUGUAGGUGGUCUGUCAAGUCUUUGGUGAAAGGCCGUGGCUUAACCAUGGGAAUGCCAAAGAGACUGGCAGACUGGAGGCUGGGAGAGGGAAGCGGAAUUUCUGGUGUAGCGGUGAAAUGCGUAGAUAUCAGAGGGAAGGCCGGUGGCGAAGGCGGCUUCCUGGAACAGACCUGACACUGAGAGACGAAAGCGUGGGGAGCAAACAGGAUUAGAUACCCGUGUAGUC